GUUUCCAGUUGGUGUAUCCAUUUAAGCAGUUCUGGACGUGCUCUUAACACAACAGAAAGGCAUCCAGUCCUGAUCUGAAGGCAUCAAGAGAUGGACAAUCCACAACUGCACUUGGAUCACAGACUACAUCUGUUCUAGAAACUGAAUUGAUCCCACCACUUCAAAUUAUGAGUAACAGCAGUGAAGAAUCUCACCAGGUGUCAUCAUCUAAAAUGGUGAAAUCAAUUCUGCAUAACACCACAUGGAACUGUCCCCCUGUCUGUACAGAAAUCAAUAGUUUACUUUGCCAGUCUCUCUUUCCUUUACCAUCAGUCCUCUUUUUCUGAAGUUGAGGGCAUAGUAUGCAGUGGGAAGGGAGCAUUUACUAACAUGAAAUAUUGGUAUAAUUUCAUAUUAUGAGUACUUGUUUUCAUCUUGUUUCUACAUGGAUAUUUUGUCAUUAUUAGUGAGCUAUUCACA